rnacentral:lncRNA from 1 species
AGAGCUUGUUUCCUUUUUCUCUACUCACCACUGUGUGAAGACAUAAGAAAAUGGCUAUCUGAAAACCAGAAGAGCAGCCUCUUACCAGGACCCAGCCCUGUUGGUACCUUGCUCUGAGACUUCCAGGUUCCAGGACUGAGGGAAAUAGAUAUUUGUUGUUUAAGCCACCCAUUGUAUGGAAAAAAGACAAAGGAAGUGAUCAUUCAAACAAUGAGAGCUUUGUUGUCCCUCUUGACUCAGCUCCCCUUCUCCCCAUAGCAAGCUGCUGUUUACACCCCAUAAAUAAGCAGCUGGUCUGGAAUAAGGAGAGGCACAGACUUCCCACUCAUCUGCUCUCUGCGUGGAUGAAGACUCUAGACUGACCUAAGGUCCAUGGAGAGACAUCUCACAGAAGGAGAGUGCCUUCAGGGCCCCAGUGACGCCGUGGUGACCACGUGCCUGUAACAGGUAACCCCUGGCUCCACGUCACCCACGCCCACUUGCACAGCUGCUCAGCGCCCUCCUGUGCCCGCGUGCCUCCACACUCCCCCGUGUCCCCAUGGCCUCUUAUGCCUCCGUGUCACCCGUCAGCUGCCUGCACAGCCCUUGCACGCCUCUGACUCCCUCCGGUGCUUUUAUUUACCUCCAGAGCCUUGCUACACCCCUCGGUGCCUCACCACCCACUCCUUCACUUUCCUUCUCCCCAUUUCCAUUCCCAUCACCCUUGGGCUCUUAGAAGUCAGCCCUAGAAGGAAAAUCAGUAGGUCCCACACUUGGGCUCACCGGCUCGGUGGUGAAACCUCACGGCGUAUUCAUAACACCACCUGGAGCACAAGUCCUGGAGAAAGCACAAGUUCUGUAGCCAGCUGGUGUUACCUGGCUGGGCUGGUGGCCAUGGGACUCAGUCAUCUGGAGGGCAGAGUGGUGCUCAAGGCCGCGGAGUGGUUAGAGCCCUCCAGACUUUGAUACAGACUUAGGCUUGUGGGAGCCAGCUUUGACCAUGCGCACAUGGGCAUCUCCUGGGGGCGACCGAACAGCAAGACAGACCACACCGGUUUUCUGGAUGACCACCACCCACACAUGCAGCUCUGAGCUACUAUGAGUCAGAGGGGAAAAACUGUGUUUCACUGGAGCCACUUUAUUUUGUGUAACUAUAUACAUGUUAUAUAGAUCAGGGUUUUCUGUAUGUCUAUUCUUGUACUGUAGCCACAGCUUCCAUUUCUGUAGUUUUAUAAUAUGUUUUAGUUUUUGGGACAAGGUCGAACCAUGUAGUUCAGACUGGCCUUGAAUUCACAGUGAUCCUCCUGCCUCAGCCUCCCAAGAGCUGAGAUUACAGACCUGUGCCACCACACCCAGCUUAGCUUUAGAGUGUGUUUAACUGGGGGGGAGGAGAGAGCAAUAAGUCUCUCUCACAUUUUUUUCUUUUUUUUUGGUACCGGGAUCGAACUCAGGUCCUUGCACUUUUGAGGCAGGCGGCGGAGCCACUGAGCUAAAUCCCCGGCCUGUCUCUCACAUGUUUUAAACCAUCUUUUGGAUUUUCUCCUGUGUUCAGUAUUUCAGAUGAAUUAAAACUAACGUUGUCAGCUUCUGCCUGAGUGGGUUCAUUUUCUGAAGCUGUAGGUUACCCUAGGCGACAGCCAUAACCACACGGCCAUGGUGCCUGCAGUGUCCGGAUCUGCCAAGGUUACGAUGUGCUCAGAUCCCGGGACUUGGGGCUCUGCCCCACUGCAGCUAGGCAGACUGACAGCGGCGGGUAGUUCCCAGGAACACCAACGGUGAUCGGGUUGAUGGGGACAGACACACUUGAACAGUGUACUGCACAAAUCAUGGGUAUGAGCAGAAAUCUUAAUGAGAGCCAGAGCUGCCCAAGCUAUUUGUGCAGGAGUGGAGGAAGGUGCAUUGCUUGACAUGGGGAAAUGUUUCUCCUAAGGAGGACACGCUCUUAGUGUGCCCAUCACCAGAGGGGGAUGGUAGCAGGGGGCUGUGAAUUGAGUCAUUUCUGGUUUUCCCUGUCUAGUGGUUAGAAACACAUCACUUUUGGAGGGUACUUAAUUUGGUAACAUGGAAUAAGUGCCCUGUAAAAUGUAUUCUCUCUUCCUCCAUUGUUGAAAUAUAGCAGAAAGUAGUUUUCCUAGCAAAUACGCAAUUGGUCCGUCACUUCAUUGAAACAAUUUAGGGUGCUCCAUUUCCCUCGUAAAAUUGAUUUUCUCUCUGUGUUCACAUCGAGGGCCUCCACCUUUGGAUCCACUCCAGCUCGAGCAGGAGGGUGCACAAACCAGAAGCAAAGAGCACACUGCCAUCAGCUGCAGCUUUGGAAAGCACUGAAAAGGAAUGACCUAAAAUAGAUUAGUUUCCAAGCUUAGCUUUAAAGCAUUCUUUGCUUUCCUAAUGAAGAGAUCAAAAUGUUCAAAAAUAAAACAAAGAGGCCUUUAAAUAUCAACUCUGUGUUAUCAGGAUGUGUAAAGUAUACUGGUUAACAGCUCACCUGAGCUGUUUCUAGCUUACUUUUUACUUUACUGUGUGUCAAGUGUAUCUCUAGAUGUCCCCCUCAAAGCCUUGUGCAGCCACAGGUGCAGUUUAUUCAGA